AGAUUGAACGCUGGCGGCAGGCCUAACACAUGCAAGUCGAGCGGCAGCACGGGUACUUGUACCUGGUGGCGAGCGGCGGACGGGUGAGUAAUGCCUAGGAAUCUGCCUGAUAGUGGGGGGAUAACGUUCGGAAACGGCGCUAAUACCGCAUACGUCCUACGGGAGAAAGUGGGGGAUCUUCGGACCUCACGCUAUCAGAUGAGCCUAGGUCGGAUUAGCUAGUUGGUAGGGUAAAGGCCUACCAAGGCUACGAUCCGUAACUGGUCUGAGAGGAUGAUCAGUCACACUGGAACUGAGACACGGUCCAGACUCCGACGGGAGCAGCAGGUGGGAAUAUUGGAACAAGUGGGGACGAAAGGCCUUAGAACGUCCAAGCC
rnacentral:rRNA from 1 species